AUGGUAAUAUUUGGGUUCUUGUAGUUUGUUACAUUAUUAAUUGCUUUUGUUAUAUUUUUCAGUUGAUGCAAGAUGGACAAGCGGGCAGGAGAAUGAUAGUGAAAUAUUUAGAGGAUAUGUAGCCGGGAGCACAAACGUUUACGAUAAUAUCGUUAUCUCUAUCGCUCUUCAAUAUUGGCGCGACAGAGCCAGACUGUGUUUCAAUCGGCGUCUAGCGACGGCGAAUUUCCUCUGAGCAAUUCUGUCAGGGUAUGCUGCAAAGGAAUGUUGCCUAGACUUGCCGCGAGAGAUGUGAAAUGCCAUGACACAAACAAAUUUUAAAUGGGCAUGAUAUAUACUCAACAACAGCGGGCACUACAAGGCUCUGGCAUAGAGUACCUAGAGCAUGGAAUGAGGCUACCAUUGCAUAGUUAAAUAUGAUGUGGCUCCUUCUUGUCAUACUUUCAACAGCUGCAGAAAAAGAAAAACAAUGUGACAGUGAACCAUACUUCGGCCAGUGAGGUGUAAUUGAACUAAAUGCCAUAAAACCAACUUGUUUGAAAUAGGUCCAGAAAAGUUAUAAGUUCAUGGUAUAUUAGAAAACACUCAAGAUGUCGAGGACACACAAGAAGUUGAUGUCGA